AGAGUUUGAUCAUGGCUCAGAUUGAACGCUAGCGGGAUGCCUUACACAUGCAAGUCGAACGGCAGCGCGGACUUCGGUCUGGCGGCGAGUGGCGAACGGGUGAGUAAUGUAUCGGAACGUGCCCAGUAGCGGGGGACAACCACUCGAAAGAGUGGCUAAUACCGGAUAAGCCCUUCGGGGGAAAGAUUUAUCGCCAAAGGAUCGGCCCGCGUCUGAUUAGCUAGUUGGUGAGGUAAUGGCUCACCAAGGCGACGAUCAGUAGCUGGUCUGAGAGGAUGAUCAGCCACACUGGGACUGAGACACGGCCCAGACUCCUACGGGAGGCAGCAGUGGGGAAUAUUGGACAAUGGGCGCAAGCCUGAUCCAGCCAUGCCGCGUGAGUGAUGAAGGCCUUAGGGUUGUAAAGCUCCUUUGUCCGGGAAGAUAAUGACUGUACCGGAAGAAUAAGCCCCGGCUAACUUCGUG
rnacentral:rRNA from 1 species